rnacentral:rRNA from 1 species
UACGUAGGGGGCUAGCGUUGUCCGGAAUCAUUGGGCGUAAAGAGCGUGUAGGCGGCCCGGUAAGUCCGCUGUGAAAGUCGGGGGCUCAACCCUCGAAUGCCGGUGGAUACUGUCGGGCUAGAGUGCGGAAGAGGCGAGUGGAAUUCCUGGUGUAGCGGUGAAAUGCGCAGAUAUCAGGAGGAACACCGGGGGCGAAGGCGGGUCUCUGGGCCGAUACUGACGCUGAGGAGCGAAAGCGUGGGGAGCGAACAGG